CCUACGGGGGGCAGCAGUGGGGAAUAUUGGACAAUGGGGGGAACCCUGAUCCAGCCAUGCCGCGUGUGUGAAGAAGGCCCUCGGGUUGUAAAGCACUUUCAGUGAGGAAGAACGCCUGGUGGUUAAUACCCAUCAGGAAAGACAUCACUCACAGAAGAAGCACCGGCUAACUCCGUGCCAGCAGCCGCGGUAAUACGGAGGGUGCGAGCGUUAAUCGGAAUUACUGGGCGUAAAGCGCGCGUAGGUGGCUUGAUAAGCCGGUUGUGAAAGCCCCGGGCUCAACCUGGGAACGGCAUCCGGAACUGUCAAGCUAGAGUGCAGGAGAGGAAGGUAGAAUUCCCGGUGUAGCGGUGAAAUGCGUAGAGAUCGGGAGGAAUACCAGUGACGAAGGCGGCCUUCUGGACUGACACUGACACUGAGGUGCGAAAGCGUGGGUAGCAAACAGGAUUAGAUACCCUAGUAGUC
rnacentral:rRNA from 1 species